rnacentral:rRNA from 1 species
GUCCACGCCGUAAACUAUGGAUGCUAGCUGUACACCGUAUCGACCCGGUGUGUAGCGAAGCUAACGCGUUAAGCAUCCCGCCUGUGGAGUACGAGCGCAAGCUUAAAACAUAAAGGAAUUGACGGGGACCCCGCACAAGCGGUGGAGCGUGUUGUUUAAUUCGAUGGUAAGCGAAGAACCUUACCAAGGCUUGAAAUCCUGAGAAGCACUGCGAAAGCAGAGUGUGCCUUCGGGAACUCAGUGACAGGUGUUGCAUGGCCGUCGU